GACGAACGCUGGCGGCGUGCUUAACACAUGCAAGUCGAACGAAGUGGCGAACGGGUGAGUAACGCGUAAUCAACCUGCCCUUCAGAGGGGGACAACAGUUGGAAAAGACUGCUAAUACCGAAUAUUGACGGUGGGGAUUGGGUCUGAUUAGCUAGUUGGAGGGGUAACGGCCCGCCAAGGCGAUGAUCGGUAGCCGGUCUGGGAGGAUGAACGGCCACAUUGGGACUGGGACACGGCCCAGACGCCUACGGGAGGCAGCAGUGGGGAAUCUUCCGCAAUGGACGAAAGUCUGACGGAGCAACGCCGCGUGAGUGAUGACGGCCUUCGGGUUGUAAAGCUCUGUUAAUCGGGACGCGGUACCGGAAUAGAAAGCCACGGCUAACUACGUGCCAGCAGCCGCGGUAAUAC
rnacentral:rRNA from 1 species